AACGAACGCUGGCGGCAGGCCUAACACAUGCAAGUCGAACGCUCCGCAAGGAGAGUGGCAGACGGGUGAGUAACACGUGGGAAUCUUCCUAUUGGUUCGGAAUAGCUCAGGGAAACUUGGGGUAAUACCGGAUAAGCCCGAAAGGGGAAAGAUUUAUCGCCGAUAGAUGAGCCCGCGUCUGAUUAGCUAGUUGGUGAGGUAAUGGCUCACCAAGGCGACGAUCAGUAGCUGGUCUGAGAGGAUGACCAGCCACACUGGGACUGAGACACGGCCCAGACUCCUACGGGAGGCAGCAGUGGGGAAUAUUGGACAAUGGGCGCAAGCCUGAUCCAGCCAUGCCGCGUGAGUGACGAAGGUCUUCGGAUUGUAAAGCUCUUUUGCCAGGGACGAUAAUGACGGUACCUGGAGAAUAAGCCCCGGCUAACUUCGUGCCAGCAGCCGCCGUAACAC
rnacentral:rRNA from 1 species